ACUAUAUAUAUAUAUAUAUAUAUAUAUAUAUAUAUAUAGAGAGAGAGAGAGAGAGAGAGAGAGAGAGAGAGAGAGAGAGAGAGAGAGAGAGAGAGCAGGACUGCUGUAUAUAUAUAUAUAUAUACAGCAGUCGAUUAUAAAAUUCCAUCAUCGAAAAUGGUUCAGAAGCACGGAGGCCUCGGUGCUUUUAAGCCGUUUUCGAUAAUGGAAUUUUCGAAUCGACGAUCGGCUGCGUUAGACUUGAUCUAGCGUAUUUAAAGUUUCUAGAAAAUAAUUUUUGCGAUUUUUCGAUAUCAUUUACCUAACAAUCGAAAUGAUUCAAAAUCAAUAAUUUUUAACGGCUGAAAAUAAAAAUUCUAGAAAAAGUGGUGAUAUAGCACUAAAAUUUUCGAUCAGAAAUAUUGAUCUUGUUUUAGAUAGUAUAAAGAAUUUUGUAUCAAA
rnacentral:lncRNA from 1 species